UCUCCAUGUCCCUCUAAUCUAUACUUUCCAUAGUUUAACUUAAUGGCUAAUUAACAAUUCUUCCUAUCUCCAUCACCUGUACUCCAGACGGAACCCUAUUCCAGAUGUAGUGCACUAUAUAGGGAACAGGGAGACGAUUCGGGUACAAUCUAUGCUUUCCCGUUUAACUUGAUGGUAAAUUAACAAGACCUCCUUUCUUUAUAUGAUGAGGACGAGUUUUCCCUGGUUGUCCAGAGAAACCCUACUGAGGUUAUGGGAUGAGUUUUCCCUGGUUGUCCAGAGAAACCCUACUGAGGUGUUGGGAUGAGUUUUCCCUGGUUGUCUAGAGAAACCCUACUGAGGUAAUGGGAUGAGUUUUCCCUGGUUGUCCAGAGAAACCCUACUGAGGUUAUGGGAUGAGUUUUCCCUGGUUGUCCAGAGAAACCCUACUGAGGUAAUGGAAUGAGUUUUCCCUGGUUGUCCAGAGAAACCCUACUGAGGUAAUGGGAUGAGUUUUCCCUGGUUGUCCAGAGAAACCCUACUGAGGUGUUGGGAUGAGUUUUCCCUGGUUGUCCAGAGAAACCCUACUGAGGUAAUGGGACGAGUUGGAAGACAUCAACUAAAGGAAUCCAACUUGAUUUAAAUAGUGUAUUAGUGGUCUGUUACAGGGACGGCCCAACAGAUAAUGGGUAUUUCCCUGAACCUGGGAGACAAUGUCUUAUUUGAAAUGGAGUGUGAUGCCGAUGGUUUAAAAUCCAAGAUGGAACUUGUGUGUAAACAUUCAUUCAUUUGGCUGUUGUUGUUGAAAUGGUGACGGCUACCACACAAUCACACUACAAUAGAAUUUAGUCCAACUGUAAUUAGUCAAAAACAAGAAGUUAAACUUGGAGCUCAUUAAUUCCUAACAAAUAGCU